UGUAAUGCCGUCCGCCCUAGAUCAA
rnacentral:piRNA from 1 species